UACGUAGGGUGCGAGCGUUGUCCGGAAUUAUUGGGCGUAAAGAGCUCGUAGGCGGUGUGUCGCGUCGGCCGUGAAAACCUGGGGCUUAACUCUGGGCGUGCGGUCGAUACGGGCAUCACUAGAGUUCGGCAGGGGAGACUGGAAUUCCUGGUGUGGCGGUGAAAUGCGCAGAUAUCAGGAGGAACACCGGUGGCGAAGGCGGGUCUCUGGGCCGAUACUGACGCUGAGGAGCGAAAGCAUGGGUAGCGAACAGG
rnacentral:rRNA from 1 species